CCUACGUGUGGCAGCAGUGGGGAAUAUUGCACAAUGGGGGAAACCCUGAUGCAGCGACGCCGCGUGAGUGAAGAAGUAAUUCGUUACGUAAAGCUCUAUCAGCCGGGAAGCAAAUGACGGUACCUGAGUAAGAAGCCCCGGCUAACUACGUGCCAGCAGCCGCGGUACUACGUAGGGGGCAAGCGUUAUCCGGAUUUGCUGGGUGUAAAGGGAGCGUAGACGGUGCGACAAGGCUGGAGUGAAAUGCCGCGGCUUAACUGCGGAACUGCUUUGGAAACUGGCGAACGAGAGUGCGGGAGGGGUAAGCGGAAUGCGUGGUGUAGCGGUGAAAUGCGUAGAUAUUAGGAGGAACACCGGUGGCGAAGGCGGCUUACUGGACCGUAACUGACGUUGAGGCUCGAAAGCGUGGGGAGCAAACAGGAUUAGAUACCCUAGUAGUC
rnacentral:rRNA from 1 species